UAAUAAUUAGAUUUAAAUAGAGAAAAUGGGCACAUCCGACUACCUGAUGCAAUAGUUCACAGUACACGGUUUUUUUGCCCCUAUUUUUCCCUUACAAUUUCGUAACCGAUCAUCCUGUAGUGUUUGGUGUGUCACGGAAGAUCAGGAUGCUCAAUACGAUCGCGGGAAGGUUUUGAGUUGAUCUUGGCAGUAGGUGACAAACUGAAGCCGCCAGGACGAUGAGACCAGCACUUCCUCUUCUGACGCGCUUAUCAAAAUAUUCACUAAGAUCCUAAACCUUCAUUAAAGAAUAAUAAUUUUUUUUUAAAAAUCAACAAAACCUGUUCAAAUUUAUAUUCUCAGUAAUUAUUGUUUCAACAACGUGUUGCACAAUUCAGUGCGUUUCAGUUCCAUUAACAAAAGAAAAGGCGACUCAAAGACCGACUGACUAGCAGA